AAUUUUUCCCAAGAGAGUGACGUGUUAUCGAUAUCGAUGUCUAUACUCGCGUAAACAUUCUCUCAAACAAAAAAAAAAAAAAAGAAGGAAGAUGCAUCCGUUCGAGCCAAUAAUUAUGACGUGGUUGGGAUCGAUGGUAUUCGCGUUAAUCGAUGCCACUGAUUCGGACGAUUAUCUUUUAGUGGAUUACACCGAUGAAUCGGAUUACAAUGCCACCAAUUGCACAAAUAUUUACUGCAUCUCGAACGAAGAGUACGUGGAUCGUAUGAUGAAUUACAUAUUUCCCAAAUUUUGGGAUUGGGUGCUGAUCGCGUCGCACAGCAUCGUCUUCGUCAUCGGAUUAAUUGGAAAUGCCCUAGUCUGCAUCGCCGUUUACAGGAAUCAUACGAUGAGAACAGUGACGAAUUAUUUUAUCGUCAAUUUGGCAGUGGCCGAUUUCCUAGUUUUAUUACUUUGUCUUCCAUUCACCGUGUUAUGGGACAUCACGGAAACCUGGUUUCUUGGUUUAACCUUGUGCAAAGCUGUACCGUAUCUCCAGACAGUAUCCGUGACUGUGAGCAUAUUAACCUUAACUUUUAUAUCGAUAGAUCGAUGGUACGCGAUAUGCUUUCCCCUGAGGUUCAAAUCUACCACAGGAUGGGCAAAAAAUGCGAUCAUCGGAAUUUGGACAAUAGCUCUUCUAUUUGAUAUUCCAGAUCUUGUGGUGUUGCAUACCGUCCCACCUACUCACAUCAAAAUAAAAACGAUUUUAUUCACACAAUGUAAUAUAUCCUGGAGUAAAAAGAAUCAAGUCAUCUUCAUUAUCGUCAAAUUAAUUUUCCUCUAUACUGGACCUUUGAUCUUCAUGAGCGUAGCGUAUUGGCAGAUUGUAAAAGUCCUUUGGAAAAGCGACAUUCCAGGGCAUAAUUUAUCGUCACGAGCAUCUCAGAUGAAUCAGAUUCCAACAUCCGGUGGCGGAAAUCCGGAAGUGCAGCUAAGAUCUCGAAAAAAAGCAGCAAAGAUGUUGGUCACGGUGGUCAUCAUUUUUGCCAUUUGCUAUUUUCCCGUGCAUUUACUCUCCGUUUUAAGGUAUACCACUACAUUGCCAUCGAACAAAUGGAUAAAUGCUAUCAGUUUAAUCGCGCAUGGCCUAUGCUAUUUCAAUAGUGCAGUUAAUCCUCUGAUCUACAACUUCAUGAGCGGUAAGUUCCGGCAGGAGUUUGGUCGUACAUUUCGAGAAUGCUCCCCUUCGAAUCCCUCAAACGGUCGCAGGCUAGCAAAUCAGCAACCCAGCUACGCUUAUAUAGCGAAUGAAUAUCGCUCUACACCGUCGAAAAAUCGUGAACAAUUCUGACAUACGGAAAUGCGAGUCUCUUGGAAAAAAACUUCUACUAUUACCGUGGAAGGAACUCAAGCCAAAAACGAAUCUACCCAUGAAUGAUGUAGUUUGGAUGUUACCCUCUGCAAUUUCAAUGACGCUUAGGGGAAAUUUCGAAAGGAAUUUAGGCGUACAUUUCGCUGUACUCGAGAAAGUAAUUCUCGCAUGCAACGCGGAUAUCUUGCGAGCACAUCUAAUUUUCCUCGAAUUAAAACUCGGACUAUGACGAUACAACGGACAACGUUUAAAAAUAACAACCUUCAACGAAACACCGAAAUUAUACCUCUCAGUGCUAUAACCAGCAUUCAACAAAACGAAAAACACGACUGAUCGUAAGCAUAUACCUAUAUUAGUCAUUAUGAUUAUUAGACGCGCAAUAAGAUUCACAAAUAAUUUAUUUACAUAUAAUUUGAACUUUAAUAUUAAGAUAAUAGAUAAAUACAACAAAAAUUAUAUUUUAUUCGAUAAGUAACAAAAAGAACUUGAUAAUCAUAUUUAGUUUUUAAAUUUGUAAAAAUUGUUAGAUACUUUUAAUAUCCAUUGAAAUAUGAAUUCAUUAGAUAACGAAACACUGAGCUAUCUAAAAUGUACUUACAAUAUUAAGAAUUACCAGGGAGAAGCUCGACGUUUAUUCUUGUAGAGCAUGAAUUAUAACAUAGGCACAUACGAAUUUGUAAAUCAUUCUUCUAAUAGAAUGAUUGUAUUUAGAAUAAUUAUGUAUAUGUAUUCUUUAAACGAUACGUCGAACAUACGCCGACAAAAUUAUAUGUAAAAUAUUUAAUAAGAUUAUAUAUAUACUAUAUGUAUAUAUACGCUACAUGUUAUAAAUAUGUGAUGCAAAUUUCAUAUUCUGUACACUGUUGUUAGUACAUCAUGUAAUCUUGAACUUAUCUUUAAUUCGUUAUAAUUAUACAUGUACAUCUUUGUCAUGUAUAGAAAUUAACCCAAAAAUCAAUUCUAUUAUUCGUAUAAUCUCAUUUCAUUGUUGAUGAAAAUUGUAUAUAAAUUAACAUUAAUUGAUACGUUCGUGCAUUUUGAGAAAUUUGAAAAACUCAAUAACUCAAAAAGAGGAAAAUAAAUUUAGUCAUAUAUGGAAAAA